GACGAACCGUGCGAACGUUGUUCGGAAUCACUGGGCUUAAAGGGCGCGUAGGCGGGCUGUCAAGUCUGGGGUGAAAUGCCGCGGCUCAACCGUGGAACUGCCUUAGAUACUGACGGCCUCGAGGAAGGUAGGGGCAUGCGGAACUGUAGGUGGCGCGGUGAAAUGCGUUGAUAUCCGGAGGAACACCGGUGGCGAAGGCGGCUUCCUGGACCGACACUGACGCUGAGGCGCGAAAGCUAGGGGAGCAAACGGG
rnacentral:rRNA from 1 species